UACAGGGGGUGCAAACGUUGCUCGGAAUCAUUGGGCGUAAAGAGCGUGUAGGCGGCCCGAUUAGUCCGCUGUGAAAGUCCAGGGCUCAACCCUGGAAUGCCGGUGGAUACUGUCGGGCUAGAGUCCGGAAGGGGCGAGUGGAAUUCCUGGUGUAGCGGUGAAAUGCGCAGAUAUCAGGAGGAACACCAAUGGCGAAGGCAGCUCGCUGGGACGUGACUGACGCUGAGACGCGAAAAGCGUGGGGAGCAAACAGG
rnacentral:rRNA from 1 species